rnacentral:rRNA from 1 species
GAUGAACGCUGGCGGCGUGCCUAAUACAUGCAAGUCGAGCGAACGGACGAGAAGCUUGCUUCUCUGAUGUUAGCGGCGGACGGGUGAGUAACACGUGGAUAACCUACCUAUAAGACUGGGAUAACUUCGGGAAACCGGAGCUAAUACCGUAUGAUAUUUUGAACCGCAUGGUUCAAAAGUGAAAGACGGUCUUGCUGUCACUUAUAGAUGGAUCCGCGCUGCAUUAGCUAGUUGGUAAGGUAACGGCUUACCAAGGCAACGAUGCGUAGCCGACCUGAGAGGGUGAUCGGCCACACUGGAACUGAGACACGGUCCAGACUCCUACGGGAGGCAGCAGUAGGGAAUCUUCCGCAAUGGGCGAAAGCCUGACGGAGCAACGCCGCGUGAGUGAUGAAGGUCUUCGGAUCGUAAAACUCUGUUAUUAGGGAAGAACAUAUGUGUAAGUAACUGUGCACAUCUUGACGGUACCUAAUCAGAAAGCCACGGCUAACUACGUG